GAUGAACGCUGGCGGCGUGCCUAAUACAUGCAAGUCGAGCGAAUGGAUUAAGAGCUUGCUCUUAUGAAGUUAGCGGCGGACGGGUGAGUAACACGUGGGUAACCUGCCCAUAAGACUGGGAUAACUCCGGGAAACCGGGGCUAAUACCGAAUAACAUUUUGAACCGCAUGGUUCGAAAUUGAAAGGCGGCUUCGGCUGUCACUUAUGGAUGGACCCGCGUCGCAUUAGCUAGUUGGUGAGGUAACGGCUCACCAAGGCAACGAUGCGUAGCCGACCUGAGAGGGUGAUCGGCCACACUGGGACUGCGACACGGCCCAGACUCCUACGGGAGGCAGCAGUAGGGAAUCUUCCGCAAUGGACGAAAGUCUGACGGAGCAACGCCGCGUGAGUGAUGAAGGCUUUCGGGUCGUAAAACUCUGUUGUUAGGGAAGAACAAGUGCUAGUUGAAUAAGCUGACACCUUGACGGUACCUAACCAGAAAGCCACGGCUAACUACGUGCCAGCCGCCGCCGUAA
rnacentral:rRNA from 1 species